GACGAACGCUGGCGGUAUGCUUAGCACAUGCAAGUCGAACGAGAAGUUUUUUAUUGAACCUUCGGGGGAUAUAAGAGACAGACAGUGGCGAACGGGUGAGUAACGCGUGGGCAACCUACCUAUCGGAGCGGGAUAGCCUCGAGAAAUCGGGAGUAAAACCGCAUAACACGGAUAUAUCGCAUGAUGAAUCCGUCAAAACUCCGGUGCCGAUAGAUGGGCCCGCGUCUGAUUAGCUAGUUGGUAAGGUAAGGGCUUACCAAGGCAACGAUCAGUAGCCGGUGUGAGAGGGCGAACGGCCACACUGGAACUGAGACACGGUCCAGACUCUACGGGAGGCAGCGUGGGGAAUAUUGCGCAAUGGGGGCAACCCUGACGGAGCAAUACCGCGUGAGUGAAGAAGGUUUUCGGAUCGUAAAGCUCUGUUAUUGGGGAAGAAGCAGGACGGU
rnacentral:rRNA from 1 species